rnacentral:rRNA from 1 species
CCUAAAUAAAUAGUUCUAUAACAAAACAAUUCGCCAGAGAACUACUAGCAACAGCUUAAAACUCAAAGGACUUGGCGGUGCUUUAUAUCCCUCUAGAGGAGCCUGUUCUAUAAUCGAUAAACCCCGAUAAACCUCACCAUCCCUUGCUAAUACAGUCUAUAUACCGCCAUCUUCAGCAAA